rnacentral:lncRNA from 1 species
ACAAACAAUCUAUCUUCUGUUUGUCCUAGGUGUUAGCGACCUGAUUUCUAUGGAAGAAUUGACGUUAGAGCAAUUUGAAUUAUUCGGGAGAGAGACAGCCGAUAACGGGAGUAGAGACGCAUACGGCGAGUAUCAAUAUAUUUAUGUCUUAUAGUUUAAAGCUAAAAUAAGUUAUAUCAUCUUUAUCUCUUUAAUUAUUUUUACAGAGCUGCCCACGGGCGUGGUGCUAGACAAUAUUAUCGACCUGACUGACGAGAACGAAGAGGAGGACGAACAUAAACCCGGACCAAGCAACACCGAUACACAGAAGCGUCCGAGAGAGGCUGACGAGCCGUCGGUCGCCCCCGAGAGAAAGAAAAGACUAGUUGUGAUCGUAACUCCGAUCAUAACGGUUGAAGACGCUGUUGACGACGGUGACCGAGAGCAUCUUAAUAAUGAUCAACUUAGGGCCGAGACUCCGCUGAACGAAUGGGAAACAGCCAGUUGGAC